rnacentral:misc_RNA from 1 species
GAUGAAGAACGUAGCGAAAUGCGAUAAGUAAUGUGAAUUGCAGAAUUCAGUGAAUCAUCGAAUCUUUGAACGCACAUUGCGCCCGCCAGUAUUCUGGCGGGCAUGCCUGUUCGAGCGUCAUUACAACCCUCAGGCCCCCGGGCCUGGCGUUGGGGAUCGGCGGAAGCCCCCUGCGGGCACAACGCCGUCCCCCAAAUACAGUGGCGGUCCCGCCGCAGCUUCCAUUGCGUAGUAGCUAACACCUCGCAACUGGAGAGCGGCGCGGCCACGCCGUAAAACACCCAACGUCUGAAUGUUGACCUCGAAUCAGGUAGGAAUACCCGCUGAACUUAAGCAUAUCAAUAAGCGGAGGA